ensembl:lncRNA
AUUUUUUCAAUAGUAAAUACAACAGUACUACGCAAUCGGAUCCAAAGGUUUUAACCUACAGUAAUAUUUCUCCCCAAACAUUCCAAACUCUGUAAUAGUAAGCUGUGACUGCUAGACCGUGAGCUGGGAGGGAGCGAUACUGUUGGUGAUUGUCUUGAGCACAUCCCUAGCACAUAACCCACAAGAGGCCCUAGUAUGCAGAUGAGGAUGUGACAGUGAUUUUGGAGUUGCCUUCAACUUUGGGGGAACAGAAGAAACUGAAACACAAAACAAACUUAGAGAAGCUGAAAGAAGCUAAAGUAUUUAAAAACAUAUUAAAUGGGAAUCACUUCUUACCUUGAAAUGUUCUCAAAUGUCAUAGCACAAGAGAACCGCGGUGGCAUUGUGAAUAUAAGACCAAAAGAAGAUGGCAGCAACAGACCAUGGAACACGUCUGUACUGUUUUCCAGUCUCCACGGCCACCACCUGCCUCCACAGGCACCACCUAAGGAUUCUCAGAGCUGCAGGAAUGAGAGUUUUUUCAACUUUUAUCCUCAUGGUGACUCCCCAUGCAGUUUCUUGAGGGCUGUGGUAAACCAUUUCUCUGUAAUAAAAAUACCCAUGAUACUCUUUUCUCUACUGCCUCUUUGAAAUGUAAGAUGGCAGUAUUUAAAAAAAAAAGAUGGCAGUAUUAAAAUUGCUUAUAUUGAAUGUACUGUCAUUUCCAAAAUUCUUCACAUGGUCAAAUAAAAAUAUUCUCUUUGAAUAU